GGGAAUUCAGUUGCCUGCCAUCAGAUUCCAUUUUGGAUGCUUCCAUCGGGACUGUGUGCCCCUGUCCUGGAACUCAGCUGAACACUUGGCUCAAAAUCCAUUGCUGUUCUCUGGAAAUUCUGCCCUAAUCUCUUGGUUAAAUAUAAGAAGGCGGAGCCAGGUGUGCAGAGCGGAACGUGAAAGUGGACCAGGAGCGUGACCGCUGAAGCACAGCAUCACAGGGAGACGUUUAGGCCACCAGACGGCUGCGGGCGGGCUUGACUGAUGUCAGGCUUUCCACAAGAGGUGGUGGAGCAGAGUCUUCUCUAACUCCCCUGGAGAAAGGGAGACUCCCUCUCCGGGUUUGGGAAGAGACAAAACUCAGGAGGAUUGUGCUAUGAUAAACAAGGCUAACCUGCUGAUUCUCUGAAGCAAGGAACUGGAGAUGGUCCUUCUAAGGGUUUAUAUUCUGGAUUCCAGGAAACAUGCAAACAGGACCCAUAAAUGCAUCUUUAUUUUGGUGCCCAUUUUGACCUGGUCAGGAGAAUUCCAACAAAAAAUCCACGGUGUUGGAGCAAGAUCUCAGGCUCUCAGGCUGUGGCCAUCUAGAGAUUCCAUUUUGGAUGCUCCCAUCGGGACUGUGUGUCCCUGUGCUGGAACUCGAGUGAACACUUGGCUCAAAAUCCAUUGCUGUUCUCUAGAAAUCCUGCCCUAUUCUCUUGGUGAAAUAUAAGAUUCCAUUUUGGAUGCCCUCAUUGGGACUGUGUGUCCCUGUACUGGAACUCAAGUGAACACUUGGCUCAAAAUCCAUUGCUGUUCUCUAGAAAUCCAGCCUAAUUCUCUUGGUUAAAGAUUCCAUUUGGAUGCUCCCAUCCGGACUGUGUGCCCCUGUACUGGAACUCAAGUGAACACUUGGCUCAACAUCCAUUGCUGUUCUCAUGAAUUCCAGGCCAAUUGUCUUGGUUAAAGACAAGACGGUGUUUCCCUCUUGUUGCCCAGGCUGGAGUGCAAUGGCAUGAUCUCGGAUCACUGCAACCUCCACCUCCCUGGUUCAAGCGAUUCUCCUGCCUCAGCCUCCCGAGCAGCUGGGAUUACAGGCAUGCAUCACCACGCCCGGCUAAUUCUUUGUAUUUUUAGUAGAGAUGGGAUUUCUCCAUGUUGGUCAGGCUGAUCUUGAACUCCCAACCUUAGGUGAUCCACCCACCUCGGCCUCCCAAAGUGCUGGGAUUACAGGCAUGAGCCAUUGUGCCCGGCCCAUUUCAUUUAUUUUUAUGUGUGCUGCUGAAGCAAGCACUUAUGUGUAGGAAUUGUUCUUCCUGUGAGCAUAUGUUGGCCAGCCUGGACCACAUACCAAGAUCCCAUCUCUUUAAAAACACAGAUUACGUGGCACCUGGCACCUGGUCCCAGAGACUUCAUUUGGGUUGGUCAUUUGAAACACUAGCCUCCCAUCAAUUUAGUGUAAUCAAUCCAAAUCAUGUGUCCUUCAUUAAGAGACUAAGAACGCCUCCACGUCUAUCCAGUCUAUUUUGUAAUCCCCAACGGUUGUCAAUAUUAAUAAAAUUUCUUUUCUUUUUCCUA
rnacentral:lncRNA from 1 species